rnacentral:rRNA from 1 species
AUGAGCCGCUUCGACGGCCGUGCGGCAGACCCCAGCUCCUACCGCGACCGCCGCAGUGAGGGCGCGUUCGGUGGCGGGACGAGGGCGUUCGCGCCGUCGGGCAAACCGGAUGCUGCCGCCGCGGCGGCCGCGGCCGAGCUGGACGGGCUGCCGCGGUUCGAGAAGAACUUCUACGUGGAGGUUCCCGCGGUGGCCGGCAUGACGGCGGAGGAGGUUGAGGCCUACCGCCGCCGCCGGGAGAUCACCGUCGAGGGCAACGACGUGCCCAAGCCGGUGCGCGACUUCCGCGACGUCGGUUUCCCAGAAUAUGUGUUGCAAGAAAUCACAAAAGCUGGCUUUACAGAACCUACCCCUAUCCAGUCACAAGGUUGGCCAAUGGCACUGAAGGGGCGUGAUCUUAUUGGCAUUGCUGAAACAGGAUCUGGAAAAACACUUGCUUACCUUUUACCUGCCAUUGUUCAUGUUAAUGCUCAGCCUAUUCUAGCUCCUGGUGAUGGUCCGAUUGUUCUUGUGUUAGCCCCUACACGGGAACUUGCUGUCCAGAUACAGCAGGAGACAACAAAAUUUGGUGCCUCAUCAAAGAUAAAAAGCACAUGCAUAUAUGGUGGUGUCCCGAAAGGAGGUGUUGAAAUUAUUAUAGCCACGCCAGGAAGACUAAUUGAUAUGAUGGAAUCACAUCACACAAAUUUGCGGAGGGUCACAUACCUUGUUUUAGACGAGGCAGAUCGAAUGCUAGACAUGGGUUUUGAACCUCAGAUUAAGAAAAUUGUUUCUCAGAUUCGUCCAGAUCGACAAACACUUUAUUGGAGUGCUACCUGGCCAAAGGAAGUUGAGCUCCUAGCAAGGACUUUCCUUUUUGAUCCAUACAAGGUUAUAAUUGGUUCUGAAGAACUGAAAGCUAAUCAUGCUAUUUGUCAGCAUGUAGAGAUAUUAUCUGAGAGUCAGAAGUAUAACAAGUUGGUCAAUCUACUGGAGGAUAUAAUGGAUGGCAGCCGAAUUUUAGUAUUCAUGGACACCAAGAAAGGAUGCGAUCAGAUCACCCGACAGCUUCGAAUGGAUGGUUGGCCUGCUCUGUCUAUCCAUGGUGACAAGAGCCAAGCUGAAAGAGAUUGGGUUCUUUCUGAAUUCAAGUCAGGGAAAAGCCCUAUUAUGACAGCUACUGAUGUUGCUGCUCGAGGCUUAGAUGUUAAGGAUGUCAAGUAUGUCAUUAACUAUGACUUUCCGGGGUCUCUGGAGGAUUAUGUCCAUCGCAUUGGUCGAACUGGCAGAGCUGGAGCAACAGGGACAGCCUACAGCUUUUUCACGGCUGCUAACGCCAGAUUUGCCAAGGAUCUUAUUAGCAUUUUAGUUGAAGCUGGACAAAAGGUCAGCCCUGAAUUGGCUAAUAUGGGCCGUGGUGCACCACCUCCUUCUUUGGGUUAUCGUGAUAGAUACAGAGGGCAUGGAGGUGGUCGUUCAUGGAGCUGA